AUAUAUAUAUAUAUAAUAUAUAAUAUCAGUAACAUUUUCAUUUUUAUUUGUUUCAAAUUUGUAAUGAUAAAAGUGGAAGCAUCUAUUUGUUUAGCUGCUUUUCGAGAGCAUUUAGAAUUCUUUAGGCCGUGUAUGCAAAGAUUCAGGCAGCAGGGCGCGGCUGCGAUAACCGGGCGGUCAGUCGCAAAGGAGCGAGAGAUGCCUGGGACGGAGACGGAGACGAUGAUGAUGGCGCCAAGAAAUUAACGAAACGCGCCAUAAUAAACACAAAACGAGGAA